ensembl:rRNA 5S_rRNA 5S ribosomal RNA
GUUUACGGCCAUACACUCCGAACGCACCCAAUCUUGUCUGACCUCAGAAGCUACGCAGGGUGGGGCCUCAUUAGUACUUGGAUGGGAAACUGCCUGGGAAUACAAGACGCUGUAGGCC